rnacentral:misc_RNA from 1 species
CUACUUGUGUAAUCGGUGAUGGAUUAGUCUUUUGGGCCUGGGACGAUUUGACUUUUCGGUCCGAAGACAAAAGGUGCACAACUGGGACGAUCGAAUUAUAUAGGGCUGUGGCGAGAUGGCUGGGGCGAAAUGACCGGUGAUGUGUAGGAGAGGCAGUCCGUCCGUCCAGUGAAACAGUUCUUUAUGGUCAAUUAAAUAUUAUGAGCGCUUCUCCUGAGUGACCGAGAAGAAGAAUGAAAUUAAAGACUGCUGUUGGAUGCAAUGGAUGUAUUUGUACGGUACUGUACAUACAUAUCUGUAAGACCACUCUGCGUGCCAAAGGCUGAUCGACGAAAGUGACAGAUUGCCCUCCCCUGAAUACACAUUGCAUCGUCACGGCAUGGUGUCUGAUUGGUACACUAUAUAUCUGACCACCUAGAGAACGCCAAGUGCUGUGUGUACAGGAAGGAAGAUUAAAAUGAAUGACAGAGAAGAACAAGACAAUGAGAUCCUGGCCCUGGAAAGUAUCUUUCAAGAGGACAGAAGACUACUGCUUGCUCGUGAAGGGGAGGAACCUGGAGGCAUGUUCAUGGCAAUGCAGUCGCCCCCACAACCAUUCUUAAUUAGCACAGCAGCUAGUGCAAAAGUGCCUCAUUCAGCUGACCAGACAUCAGCUCAGGAAGGCAAACUGGUACAGAUCAAACACCUACCCCCAAUUGCACUCAACUUUGUCCUUCCAGCUGAUUACCCUACUGCCCAAGCCCCACAGUUUACUCUUACCUGUGAGUGGAUGUCAAAACAACAAUUAAGUGCUUUGUGUGCUCGACUGGAUGAAAUAUGGGAAGAAAACAAGGGCAGUGUCAUUCUUUUCAUGUGGUUCCAGUUUUUGCAAGAUGAGGCCUUUGACUACUUGCAGAUCACUUCCCCUCUUGACCUAACAAAAAUCAUUCCCCAAAACAGGCACAAACAUGCACAUCACCCAAAAGCUGAGCCUUCAUUCAGAUCCACACCAGACAAUCAUUCAUUAUAUACAUCAAGUAAUCUUGAUGCUGCUGUGUACCCUCUGUCUCUUAAUGACAGCGAACACAGUGUUCAAAACUUGUCCAGCAGUCUGGAUCUAGAGGGUCUUGAUCCUCGUGCAGCACAAGACAUUGUAUCUGUUUCACAGCUGCUAAGGACACUGAUAAAGUAUGACAAAGACAAGCAGCAAGAUGUGUUUCAGUCCUCAUCUGUCUUGUGCAACAUUUGUUUCUCAUCAAAGCUUGGACGUUACUGCAUGUGUUUUCGGGACUGUGACCAUGCAUUCUGCCGAGACUGCAUUCGGGAGUAUUUUAGAAUUCAGAUACAAGAUGGCAAUGUGAAAGAGCUGAAAUGUCCUGACUCCAAGUGCGAAUCACAGGCUUACCCAGACCAGGUGAAGGAACUUGUGAAUGACAAAGAAUUUGAACGUUAUGAUCAGCUUCUUCUUCAAAGUACAUUAGAGACAAUGGCUGAUAUAGUAUAUUGUCCACGCCAUUUGUGUGAAAGUCCAGUCAUUGUGGAGGAUAGCAACAGCAAAAUGGGCCGAUGCCCCAGUUGUCAGUUUGUGUUCUGCACUCUGUGUAAACUGAGCUACCAUGGGUUGUCUCCAUGCAGGAUAAAGUCUGAAGAGUUGAAAAAGCUGAGAGAGGAAUACCUCAGUGCUGACGAGGAGACAAAGCGUUUUCUGGAGAAACGCUAUGGCAAGAGAGCUAUCAAUCAGGCCUUGGAGGAGACAUUUUCAGCAGAGUGGUUAGAAAAGAAUGCCAAGAUGUGUCCAUAUUGUGGAACUCAGAUUCAGAAAACAGAGGGCUGUAACAAGAUGACAUGCUUCAAAUGCCGCACUUACUUCUGCUGGUUGUGCAGUGAAGUGUUGUCACGCUCUAAUCCAUACAACCAUUUUAAUGCUCCUGGAGGCCAGUGCUAUGCCCGCCUUUUUGAAGGUGUAGAAAUUGAUGAUGAUAUUGAGGAUGACGAAGACCUGGUGUUUGAGGAUGACUGGUAAAUUUAUGUAAGUUGCUUAUCUGUAACUGUACUUUUUUUUAUUGAAAGAGGAGUUAUAUCAUGAACUUGUAUGGCGAUUUUUUUCCAGUUAACUACUAAAACAAAGCUGGUGUAUACAAAGCUUCCGGUUUAGUCGCCUUCAUUGUUUAGACUUGCCGA